rnacentral:lncRNA from 1 species
AAAAGACGCAUUUUGAUUAGAAAUUUGAGAAAGAAAAAUAAAGAAAGUGGAUGUGGGUCAAAAAUGUGGGUGCAUUUUUGGGUAGUAAAGAAAAAAUGUGAAAAAGAGAGGGCAACAAAUCCAAAUGGUCAUCUAAUCACCCUCCAGCAACUUCAUUACCACACACAACUUUUGGGCCUACACAAAGUUCUUGUUUUUUGUUUUUAGGCACCUUUUUUUUUUCCUUGAUGAAAAUGGCGUUUGAGCAAUAUGGCAAUCUCACUGGACUU